UACGAGGGGGGCUAGCGUUGCUCGGAAUUACUGGGCGUAAAGGGCGCGUAGGCGGACAGUUAAGUCAGAGGUGAAAGCCCAGGGCUCAACCCUGGAAUAGCCUUUGAUACUGGCUGUCUUGAGUGCGGGAGAGGUGUGUGGAACUCCGAGUGUAGAGGUGAAAUUCGUAGAUAUUCGGAAGAACACCAGUGGCGAAGGCGACACACUGGCCCGCAACUGACGCUGAGGCGCGAAAGCGUGGGGAGCAAACAGG
rnacentral:rRNA from 1 species